UCGGGGUGCGCAGGCGCGAAAACUUUACAACGCCGGCAACGGCGAUAAGGGAACCUCGAGUGCCAGGUUACAAAUCUGGCUGUCGUGAUGCCUAAAAAGCAUUGCAUAGCAAGGGCCGGGCAAGACCGGUGCCAGCCGCCGCGGUAACACCGGCGGCUCGAGUGGUAACCGUUAUUAUUGGGUCUAAAGGGUCUGUAGCCGGCCGGGUAAGUCUCUUGGGAAAUCUGGCAGCUUAACUGUCAGGCUUUCAGGAGAUACUGCCUGGCUCGAGGCCGGGAGAGGUGAGAGGUACUUCAGGGGUAGGGGUGAAAUCUUGUAAUCCUUGAAGGACCACCAGUGGCGAAGGCGUCUCACCAGAACGGACCUGACGGCAAGGGACGAAAGCUAGGGGCACGAACCGGAUUAGAUACCCGGGUAGUCCUAGCCGUAAACGAUACUCGCUAGGUGUCGGCCACGGUGCGACCGUGGUCGGUGCCGUAGGGAAGCCGUGAAGCGAGCCACCUGGGAAGUACGGCCGCAAGGCUGAAACUUAAAGGAAUUGGCGGGGGAGCAC
rnacentral:rRNA from 1 species